AGCUGUGCUGUGGAGCAGCAGCAAAGAAGGAAGCGGAAGAUGUCUGUUUAUUCAUUUCUACUUCUAUGCCUGGGUCAGCCAGCGAGUUCGACGGUGGCGUAGGUGGCGUAAGAGUCAUGUCAAGCUGUAAGACGGCGGCAUCAUGAGCCUGUAAAGACUGUGUGCAAAGAAAAAUAAAGACAUCUUGCCAUCAGUAAAA